rnacentral:rRNA from 1 species
UACGGAAGGGGCGAGCGUUGUUCGGAAUCAUUGGGCGUAAAGGGCGCGUAGGUGGUCCUGUAUGUCUACCGUGAAAGCGUACGGCUCAACCGUAUUUUGUCGGUAGAAACUGCAGGACUUGAGGCUGGGAGGGGCUGGUGGAAUUCCCUGUGUAGCGGUGAAAUGCGCAGAUAUCAGGAGGAACACCGGUGGCGAAGGCGGGUCUCUGGGCCGUAACUGACGCUGAGGAGCGAAAGCGUGGGGAGCGAACAGG